UACGUAGGGUGCAAGCGUUAAUCGGAAUUACUGGGCGUAAAGCGUGCGCAGGCGGCUUUGCAAGACAGAUGUGAAAUCCCCGGGCUCAACCUGGGAACUGCAUUUGUGACUGCAUGGCUGGAGUGCGGCAGAGGGGGAUGGAAUUCCGCGUGUAGCAGUGAAAUGCGUAGAUAUGCGGAGGAACACCGAUGGCGAAGGCAAUCCCCUGGGCCUGCACUGACGCUCAUGCACGAAGGCGUGGGGAGCAAACAGG
rnacentral:rRNA from 1 species